UUUUUCAGUUGUUGUAUUUUGUGUGGAUUAAUUGCUUUCACCACGUGCCUCCCAAAUACAAUUGUAUUAGCCACGGAAGAAUGCUAUGGUGUGGUCUCUAACCUCGGUUUUAAACAGAUCCCACUUGACACCAAUAUCAUUGACACCAGACAACGUAGCUGAAGAAACAAUAGUAAUUGGAUCUUAUCGUGUAAAUUUUGGAAUAGUGAUUUCGUAAAACUUGGUAUUCUAUUAAUGGAAAUUGAGUUCUGCGUAUAAAGAAUUGACAUGCUUUGAACAGGAAAAAGUAAUAGGAUGUAAUAGCAUAUUACUGAACAAAAGGAAAAUAGACAAUGUCAAUUGUGCGAAUAAAACGGAUAAAACGAUGUGAGCUUUUUUGGGUAAUAGAUUGUAGAGUUCAAUAUCUGGAACAUAAACAAGA